rnacentral:rRNA from 1 species
UGAGGAAUAUUGGUCAAUGGGCGAGAGCCUGAACCAGCCAAGUCGCGUGAAGGAAGAAGGUUCUAUGGAUUGUAAACUUCUUUUGUAAGGGAAUAAAAAGAGUUACGUGUAACUUAUUGUAUGUACUUUACGAGUAAGGAUCGGCUAACUCCGUGCCAGCAGCCGCGGUAAUACGGAGGAUCCAAGCGUUAUCCGGAUUUAUUGGGUUUAAAGGGUGCGUAGGUGGAUUGUUAAGUCAGUGGUGAAAGUUUUCAGCUCAACUGAAAAAUUGCCGUUGAAACUGUCGAUCUUGAGUGCAAAUGAGGUAGGCGGAAUGUGUUGUGUAGCGGUGAAAUGCUUAGAUAUAACACAGAACUCCGAUUGCGAAGGCAGCUUACUGGGAUGCAACUGACACUGAUGCACGAAAGCGUGGGUAUCAAACA